GUGGGGAAUAUUGCUCAAUGGGCGCAAGCCUGAAGCAGCGACGCCGCGUGAGGGAUGAAGGCCUUCGGGUUGUAAACCUCUUUCAGCAGGGAAGAAGCGAAAGUGACGGUACCUGCAGAAGAAGCACCGGCUAACUACGUGCCAGCAGCCGCGGUAAUACGUAGGGUGCAAGCGUUGUCCGGAUUUAUUGGGCGUAAAGAGCUCGUAGGCGGUCUGUCGCGUCUGCUGUGAAAACUCGGGGCUUAACCCCGGGCCUGCAGUGGGUACGGGCAGACUAGAGUGCGGUAGGGGAGACUGGAAUUCCUGGUGUAGCGGUGAAAUGCGCAGAUAUCAGGAGGAACACCGGUGGCGAAGGCGGGUCUCUGGGCCGUAACUGACGCUGAGGAGCGAAAGCAUGGGUAGCGAACAGGAUUAGAAACCCUAGUAGUCC
rnacentral:rRNA from 1 species